rnacentral:lncRNA from 1 species
UUUGAGAUCAUCGGCAUAGUGUGCCCUGUGCUUGGGCGAAUACCAAUGAGGGAUGUGCAGACCCACAGUUCAGUCUGAGAAAACCAGGAUUGUAAGAUAUUGUGUUCAAUCGCGUAGCGUUUUUAUUCCUGAUUUGGCCUUUUCAGCUUGUGAGAACUCCUUUGCAACUCGAACUGGACCGAACCGGAGGGGAAGGACCCACGUAGGGGUGCCACACGUACACCCACAGUAGCCGCAGGUGGACCUGCGGCCAGCCAUGGCUAUUAAAUGCCUGCAGGUUGCUUUCAUAAGUCAUUUUCAAGUUGCGUCGCGAAGGAAAUUCGAGAGCUCUUCUUCAGAUCUGCUGAGUUCGGGAAACUUUCUGCAAAUUCUGUCACCGUACAAGUGUUCUACACUAUUCUGGUAACGUAUGCAUGUCUUCUUUUCAAGUUUUUAUCCGUUGGAAAAUGACUUAUCACAUAAAAUGCAUCUAAACACAUAGUAGUGAAUAUGCAUGCUCAAAUGACUUGAUAAAAAAUAUUCAACAUAGUAAAUUUUAGUAUUAAACCAUGCUGAACAUAAUGAUGUAAAAGAUUUUAACUUUUGAAAUAGUCAAAUUGGCACCUUUUUUCUACUAUUUCUUAUCCUAUUUGAGGACAAAUGAGCAAAAGGUAAAAAUACAAAGUAAUCCUGGUAAUUAAAUUACCCUUAUGGAUUGAUGACUUUGACUUUUUAAUGCAUAUAAUAUGUAUAUAACUGUGGGCAUGUGUGCUACUGAAUGGCCACCUAGUCAUGCCUAUGUGCAUGUGGAUAGUUUUAUUUAUAGAGGGG